rnacentral:lncRNA from 1 species
CACGUGUGUGUCUGUAAAAGACGGGACGGGGCAGUUCAAAAAGGAGAAGGCUGCGAGUGCGGUCCUCACUGGAGGCGGCGGUAACUCUUACAGAGUUCGUGGUCCCGGAUGUCCCCCCACCCUCCGUUCUUGACGUGAGGGGACAGGGGGGCCAUGGAGUACCUUUUGCUGACGCUCAUCGUCUCGGGGAACAGGUACUGCCGGUUGCUGCUCAAGAGAGAGUCGAUUUUGGCACUCUGGGAGGACGGCCUGCAGGACUUCUUGUGGUGCAUGCCGCAGUCCCCCGUGUGAAACACGCGGGGGAUUUCGGGGACCAGCACCUUCCAGAACUUUGGAAGACACGAGACAGUCAAGUGCUGCAACGUCCAGUCCCAGUUGUAGUCAUCGUACGUGCAGAAGGCGUCCGUGCACUCGAUGAGCUUCUGGUAGGUGUCUCUGCCGAAGGCCAUGCCCAUGUUGUGCUCCGUGGACUUCCACGUCUUCACCUCGGCCUUGUCGGCGCGGCCGGCGAAGCCCCCGCGGCCCAGCGUGUAGGAGCCCAGCGAGACCACCUGGCACUCGGGGCAGUCGCGCUGCCGCAGCGCCCACAGCUGCUUGAGGACGUGGUAGAAGUCGGGCGCCAGGUAGUGGUCCUCCUCCAGGAAGACGACGGGCCCGGCGUGCUCCCGCAGCGCCCGCACGCGCUCCCAGACGAAGUGCAGCUUCCACCACCAGUGGUGCUUGGUCUGCGAGAAGCGGGCCUCGCGGUAGUGCCCGAAGGAGUCGGGGAACUCGGCGUUGAGGCAGCCCAGGCGCAGCGCGGCCGCCUUGCCCACGUCGCGGGGGCAGUCGCGGGGGUCGUGCCCGGGGAACUCGCGCGGGUACAGCUGGAUGCUGAAGGGGAAGAAGACCUGCAGCACCGGGCAGAAGUCCACGGCGGCCGCCAGCCGGUUCAGCUCCUCGGCCCACAGGUCGUGGCUCAGCACCAGCAGCACGUUCUCCACGCCCGCCGCGCGCCGCAGGGACUCGAGCAGCAGCCGCAGGUGCUCGGCGCGGUCGUGCACCUGCACCACCAGCACCACGUCGGGGCCGCCGGGCCGGGCCGGGAAGCGCCCCGCGUUGCGCAGCGGCUGGUCGAAGUUGAGGCGGUAGACGAGCGAGCGGUAGCUCAGCGUCCCGUUCUCCGCGCCCGCGGUCGGGGCGGCGGAGGAGGCCGAGGCCGAGGCGUUGGCGGCGCCGGCGGGGCGGCGC